rnacentral:rRNA from 1 species
GAUGAACGCUAGCUACAGGCUUAACACAUGCAAGUCGAGGGGAAACGGCAUCGAAAGCUUGCUUUUGAUGGGCGUCGACCGGCGCACGGGUGAGUAACGCGUAUCCAACCUGCCCAUCACUUGGGAAUAACCUUGCGAAAGUAAGACUAAUGCCCAAUGACAUCCCACGAAGGCAUCCGAAUGGGAUUAAAGAUUUAUCGGUGAUGGAUGGGGAUGCGUCUGAUUAGCUUGUUGGCGGGGUGACGGCCCACCAAGGCAACGAUCAGUAGGGGUUCUGAGAGGAAGGUCCCCCACAUUGGAACUGAGACACGGUCCAAACUCCUACGGGAGGCAGCAGUGAGGAAUAUUGAUCAAUGGGCGAGAGCCUGAACCAGCCAAGUAGCGUGCAGGAUGACGGCCCUAUGGGUUGUAAACUGCUUUUAUAAGGGAAUAAAGUGGGUCACGUGUGACUUUUUGCAUGUACCUUAUGAAUAAGGACCGGCUAAUUCCGUG